rnacentral:rRNA from 1 species
AUUGAACGCUGGCGGCAGGCCUAACACAUGCAAGUCGAGCGGAUGAAGGGAGCUUGCUCCUGGAUUCAGCGGCGGACGGGUGAGUAAUGCCUAGGAAUCUGCCUGGUAGUGGGGGAUUACGUCCGGAAACGGGCGCUAAUACCGCAUACGUCCUGAGGGAGAAAGUGGGGGAUCUUCGGACCUCACGCUAUCAGAUGAGCCUAGGUCGGAUUAGCUAGUUGGUGGGGUAAAGGCCUACCAAGGCGACGAUCCGUAACUGGACUGAGAGGAUGAUCAGUCACACUAGAACUGAGACACGGUCCAGACGCCUACGGGAGGCAGCAGUGGGGAAUAUUGGACAAUGGGCGAAAGCCUGAUCCAGCCAUGCCGCGUGUGUGAAGAAGGUCCUCGGAGUGUAAAGCACUUUAAGUUGGGAGGAAGGGCAGUAAGUUAAUACCUUGCUGUUUUGACGUUACCAACAGAAUAAGCACCGGCUAACUUCGUG